rnacentral:tRNA from 1 species
GGCCGGUUAGCUCAGUGGGUUGAGCACGGUGCUGAGAACACCGAGGUCCCGGGUUCAAUUCCCGUUUGGUCC